rnacentral:rRNA from 1 species
UGGGGAAUAUUGGGCAAUGGACGCAAGUCUGACCCAGCAACGCCGCGUGAAGGAAGAAGGCUUUCGGGUUGUAAACUUCUUUUAAGGGGGAAGAGGAGAAGACGGUACCCCUUGAAUAAGCCACGGCUAACUACGUGCCAGCAGCCGCGGUAAUACGUAGGUGGCAAGCGUUGUCCGGAUUUACUGGGUGUAAAGGGCGUGCAGCCGGGCUGACAAGUCAGAUGUGAAAUCCGCGGGCUUAACCCGCGAACUGCAUUUGAAACUAUUGGUCUUGAGUGCCGGAGAGGUAAUCGGAAUUCCUUG